AGAAUCAACGCUGGCGGCGUGCCUAACACAUUCAAGUCGAACGAGAAAGUGGAGCAAUCCAUGAGUAAAGUGGCGCGCGGGUGAGUAACACGUGACUAACCUACCCUUGAGUGGGGGAUAACCUAGAGAAAUCUGGGCUAAUACCGCAUAAUACCCUUCGGGUCAAAGGAGCAAUUCGCUUAAGGAGGGGGUCGCGGCCGAUUAGUUAGUUGGCGGGGUAAUGGCCCACCAAGACUGUGAUCGGUA
rnacentral:rRNA from 1 species